UACGAAGGGGGCUAGCGUUGUUCGGAAUGACUGGGCGUAAAGCGCUCGUAGGCGGAUACUUAAGUCAGGGGUGAAAUCCCGGGGCUCAACCCCGGAACUGCCUUUGAUACUGGGUAUCUCGAGUCCGGAAGAGGUGAGUGGAAUUCCGAGUGUAGAGGUGAAAUUCGUAGAUAUUCGGAGGAACACCAGUGGCGAAGGCGGCUCACUGGUCCGGUACUGACGCUGAGGUGCGAAAGCGUGGGGAGCAAACAGG
rnacentral:rRNA from 1 species